UACGAAGGGGGCUAGCGUUGCUCGGAAUUACUGGGCGUAAAGCGCACGUAGGCGGCUUCUUAAGUCGGUGGUGAAAUCCUGGAGCUCAACUCCAGAACUGCCUUCGAUACUGGGAAGCUAGAGUUCGGAAGAGGCGAGUGGAAUUCCUGGUGUAGCGGUGGAAUGCGCAGAUAUCAGGAGGAACACCUAUAGCGAAGGCAGCUCGCUGGGACGACACUGACGCUGAGACGCGAAAGCGUGGGGAGCGAACAGG
rnacentral:rRNA from 1 species